AUAGAAAGGAGGCGUGCAUGUGGGAAGCCUCUUUUUCCGGGCGUCGGAGGCGCAGGAGCUAAGCGGUGGCGGUGGGAGAAAACCGGAGGGCUGAGCCAUGCCUAAAGGAGGGAAGCAACAUCACGCCCAGGAGGAAUGGAUCGGGGACGGGGAGGAGAAGACAUGCCCCGCGCAAGGAGCUGGAGACAAACUAGUAAAGAAGGGAAAGAAGGAUAAAA